AAUAAACUAUUGUAUUUACUUGCAUAGUUGUAUGCGUAAGUAAAAAUUGUUUAUUAUUAAUUCUAUUAGUUAAUUAAUAUUAUUUUUAUCUAUUUUUUCUAAAUCAAUGAUUAAACCUUACUUUCUUAUGCCAGUGUUUGUUGAUGGCAUUUACCAUUAUCUAUAAUAGUAAAAAACCAGUAUACGCUCCGUUAAUAUUUUUUUUUUUAAUAAUGAUUACUCUAGGUAUAAAGCAAAGCUGAGCAAGUUAACCAAUUGAAAAGUU